rnacentral:rRNA from 1 species
ACGGGAGGCAGCAGUAGGGAAUAUUGCACAAUGGGGGAAACCCUGAUGCAGCGACGCCGCGUGAGCGAUGAAGUAUUUCGGUAUGUAAAGCUCUAUCAGCAGGGAAGAUAAUGACGGUACCUGACUAAGAAGCCCCGGCUAACUACGUGCCAGCAGCCGCGGUAAUACGUAGGGGGCAAGCGUUAUCCGGAUUUACUGGGUGUAAGGGGAGUGUAGAUGGCAUGGCAAGUCAGAUGUGAAAGCUCGGGGCUCAACCCCGGAACUGCAUUUGAAACUGUCAAGCUGGAGUGCAGGAGAGGAAAGUGGAAUUCCUAGUGUAGCGGUGAAAUGCGUAGAUAUUAGGAAGAACACCAGUGGCGAAGGCGGCUUUCUGGACUGUAACUGACAUUGAGGCUCGAAAGCGUGGGGAGCAAACAGGAUUAGAUACCCUGGUA